GCCCAUCCACGCUUUGUUGCCUAUCGGCAAAGAUGCGGACAUUGGCCCUCCGAACCGCGAGGUGCGGUGGGCCUAAGUGUGCGGCCGUCGUAUGUGGCCGGGAGCGGCGAGUGGUGGGCUACUGCGCACGUCACCCCGAGCCCCGUACCGACACAGGGCCUUUUUCGACCCCUAACGAGGAGAUUGCUGUCGCAGCUUGCGCUGCGCGGCGCCUUCGGACC
rnacentral:misc_RNA from 1 species